AACGAACGCUGGCGGCAUGCCUAACACAUGCAAGUCGAACGGACUGUAGCAAUACAGUCAGUGGCGAACGGGUGAAUAACGCGUGGGAACCUACCUCGGAGUUCGGAAUAACCGCGGGAAACUGCGGCUAAUACCGGAUACGGCCUGAGGGCGAAAGGAGCAAUCCGCUCCGGGAGGGGCCCGCGUCCGAUUAGCUAGUUGGUGGGGUAAUGGCCCACCAAGGCGAUGAUCGGUAGCUGGUCUGAGAGGAUGAUCAGCCACACUGGAACUGCGACACGGUCCAGACUCCUACGGGAGGCAGCAGUGGGGAAUAUUGCUCAAUGGCCGAAAGGCUGAAGCAGCAACGCCGCGUGGAGGAUGAAAUACUUUUGUAUGUAAACUCCUGUAAGAAGGGAAAAUAAACAGAUUUUCUGUGUUGAUUGUACCUUCAGAGUAAGCCCCGGCUAACUACGUG
rnacentral:rRNA from 1 species